CCUACGGGUGGCAGCAGUGGGGAAUAUUGGACAAUGGGGGGAACCCUGAUCCAGCGACGCCGCGUGAGUGAAGAAGUAUUUCGGUAUGUAAAGCUCUAUCGGCAGGGAAGAAAGAAAUGACGGUACCUGACUAAGAAGCCUCGGCUAACUACGGGCCAGCAGCCGCGGUAAUACGUAGGGGGCAAGCGUUAUCCGGAUUUACUGGGUGUAAAGGGAGCGUAGACGGCAGUGCAAGUCUGGAGUGAAAGGCGGGGGCUCAACCCCCGGACUGCUCUGGAAACUGUACGGCUGGAGUGCAGGAGAGGUAAGUGGAAUUCCUAGUGUAGCGGUGAAAUGCGUAGAUAUUAGGAGGAACACCAGUGGCGAAGGCGGCUUACUGGACUGUAACUGACGUUGAGGCUCGAAAGCGUGGGGAGCAAACAGGAUUAGAUACCCGAGUAGUC
rnacentral:rRNA from 1 species